rnacentral:rRNA from 1 species
CAACCUGGCGGCAUGCCUAUAAUGCAAGUCGAACGCUUUGAUUUCACCGGGUGCUUGCACCCACCGAAGUCAAAGAGUGGCGGACGGGUGAGUAACACGUGGGUAACCUGCCCAUAAGAGGGGGAUAACAUACGGAAACGGAUGCUAAUACCGCAUACUUCUAAUCGCCUCCUGGCGAAUGGAAAAAAGGUGGCUUCGGCUACCGCUUAUGGAUGGACCCGCGGCGUAUUAGCUAGUUGGUGAGGUAAUGGCUCACCAAGGCGAUGAUACGUAGCCGACCUGAGAGGGUGAUCGGCCACACUGGGACUGAGACACGGCCCAGACUCCUACGGGAGGCAGCAGUAGGGAAUCUUCCGCAAUGGACGAAAGUCUGACGGAGCAAUGCCGCGUGAGUGAAGAAGGUUUUCGGAUCGUAAAACUCUGUUGUUAGAGAAGAACAAGGAUGAGAGUAACUGCUCAUCCCCUGACGGUAUCUAACCAGAAAGCCACGGCUAACUACGUGCCAGCAGCCGCGGUAAU